rnacentral:rRNA from 1 species
UACGUAGGGUGCGAGCGUUAAUCGGAAUUACUGGGCGUAAAGCGUGCGCAGGCGGUUUUGUAAGCCAGAUGUGAAAGCCCCGGGCUUAACCUGGGAAUGGCAUUUGGGACUGCAAGGCUUGAGUGCGGCAGAGGAGACUGGAAUUCCUGGUGUAGCAGUGAAAUGCGUAGAUAUCAGGAGGAAUACCGAUUGCGAAGGCAGGUCUCUGGGCUGACACUGACGCUCAUGCACGAAAGCGUGGGGAGCAAACAGG